CGCACAUUGCGCCCCUUGGUAUUCCGGGGGGCAUGCCUGUCCGAGCGUCAUACAGCCAAUCCCUUCGGGGGUAUUGGACCCUGUCGGCGACGGCAGGUCCUAAACCCAGUGGCGGCAUCGCACGCACUCGAGCGUAGUAGACACCAUCUCGCCUAGAGGAGCGUGCGAUCUUGACCAGCACAAUCCACAUACUUCAGGUGGACCUCGGAUCAGGUAGGAAUACCCGCUGAACUUAA
rnacentral:misc_RNA from 1 species